GUCUGAUUCAGAGUUUGAAGUGUUUGAGCCUGUGCAGAAAGCCAAGCCGAAGAGAAAACUAACAUCUCGAGACACCGUUAGGUCUGACUCCGAGUUUGAAGCGUCUGAACCCGUGCAGAGAGCCAAGCCUAAACGAAAACCAACAUCUCGAGACAGAUCCCAUUCUUCAAAGAAGCCGAAGUCGAAUCCAAAGGAAUCGUUCGACGUGCUGGGAGUUCUGUCGGACGAGGAGGAAGCCAUAGAGAAGGCCACGCGCGCAUCCAA